GGGGGGUGAGGUAGUCGGUUGUAUUGUUGGGGGGCCGGGAUGGGGCCCCACACUCGAGGUAACGAUGCAGCCGACUACUUUCCCCCA
rfam:Colinus virginianus strain Texas jcf7180006227124, whole genome shotgun sequence.